rnacentral:rRNA from 1 species
UACAGAGGUCCCAAGCGUUGUUCGGAUUCACUGGGCGUAAAGGGCGCGUAGGUGGCGGGGUAAGUUUGAUGUGAAAUCUCCGGGCUUAACCCGGAAAUGGCAUUGAAUACUAUUCUGCUGGAGGUUUGGAGGGGGGGACUGGAAUUCUCGGUGUAGCAGUGAAAUGCGUAGAUAUCGAGAGGAACACCAGUGGCGAAGGCGAGUCCCUGGACAACACCUGACACUGAGGCGCGAAAGCUAGGGGAGCAAACAGG